rnacentral:rRNA from 1 species
GACGAACGCUGGCGGCGUGCUUAACACAUGCAAGUCGAACGGAAAGGCCCUGCUUUUGUGGGGUGCUCGAGUGGCGAACGGGUGAGUAACACGUGAGUAACCUGCCCUUGACUUUGGGAUAACUUCAGGAAACUGGGGCUAAUACCGGAUAGGAGCUCCUGCUGCAUGGUGGGGGUUGGAAAGUUUCGGCGGUUGGGGAUGGACUCGCGGCUUAUCAGCUUGUUGGUGGGGUAGUGGCUUACCAAGGCUUUGACGGGUAGCCGGCCUGAGAGGGUGACCGGCCACAUUGGGACUGAGGUACGGCCCAGACUCCUACGGUAGGCAGCAGUGGGGAAGAUUGCACAAUGGGCGGAAGCCUGAUGCAGCAACGCCGCGUGCGGGAUGACGGCCUUCGGGGUGUAAACCGCUUUCGCCUGUGACGAAGCGUGAGUGACGGUAAUGGGUAAAGAAGCACCGGCUAACUACGUG